UUAAAGCCGUGCGCCACCACGCCCGGCCAGACAUUGCAGCCGUGCACCACUCACCGCUCAUGGCUGUUUACAUUGAUUCAGCAGCUAUUGUGCCAACUGAGCCAUCUCGUCAGCCCAUAACAGUAAGUUGUAAUUUAUCUUUAGAUUAAUUUAAUUCAAAAAAUUAAAUGGUAUUAAAUUAUUUAUAAAAUAAAGAUAAGAUUUAUUAAAAAGAAUAACAAGCCAUAGAAAGUAGAUCAUGUCUGUAAUAUAAGCACUGUGGAGCCUAAGUCAGGAGGAUUGCUCAGUGACUGAAACCAUUCUUAGCGAGGUGGGUUAUAUGAGGCAUGCAGACACGCAGAGGUCAGGCUGAUGUUGGGUGUCUUCCUCAGCUGCUCCCCACUCUGUUUCUGCGGAGGCAAGGUCUCUUGCUGAACCAGGAACUUUGCAAUUCUGGUUGCUUAGCUUGCUAGCUUAUUCCAGGGAUCCACUGUCUUCACCUUCCAAACACUGGGAUUACAGGUGAACCGUCAUAUAUCCCCUGGUUUUCAUGUGAGUUCUGGGCUUUUAACUCUAAUCCUCAUGCUUAUAUAGCAAGUAUUUUACUUUCUUUUUCUUUUUUUGUUGUCUUUUUGUUUUGGGGGUUUUAUUUAUUUAUUUAUUUAUUUAUUUAUUUAAUUUUUUGGCAAGUAUUUUUCAUAACCAGCCAUCUCCCUAGCCCCAUGAAUUUCCUGAGCCUCUAAUCAUACAGUCUUUACUUGUCCAGCACUGGGAUUGUAGGCAUAGACUACUGUACCUAGUUUAUGUAGUGCUGGGAAUCAAACCUAGUACAUCAUCUAUCCUAGGCAAGUACUCAGCAACACAACUGUGUCCCCUGUCUGUCUGUCUGCCUGCCUGCCUGUCUGUCUCUGUCUUUCUCUCUCCCUCCCUCUCUCUCCCUCCACCCCUCUCUUUGAGCUCAUUGGUCUGUCUGUCUUUUUGUCCAUCCCCAGCACUGGGGUUACAGAAGUGCUGUCUGUCAUGCUCAGCUUUUACAUGAGGGGUGGGAGUCAGCACCAAGUUCCUCAUGCUUGCAAAGCAAGAACUUUGCCAACUAAGUCAUUUCCCCAGUUCUCUCUUUCUCUUCUUCCUCCUUUUUUAAUUAGGUUAAAGACACAUAAAAUUGGGCUAGGGAGAUGGCUGAGUGGUUAAGAGACUGGUUGUUCUUCAGAAAACCUGAGUUUAAUUCCCAGCACAUACAUGAUACCUCAUGACUGUCUCUCUCAGGGGAUCCAAAGCAGUCUUAUGGUCUCUGAGUCCUCCACAACCAUAGUACACAGACAUACAUAUAGGCAAACACCCAUACACAUAAAAUAAGAUAAAAAUGUUUAAGAAACACAUAAAGUUAUCUUAACAAAUUUGAAGUAUAUGCAUCAUAAACAUACCAUAAAAUUUGCUCAUUGUGGCAAAUUACAUUACUUUUACUAAAUUUAUAGCAUUUUUAACCAUCACUACCAUCUGGUUGCAGAUAUUUUCAUCAUCCAAAGAAGUGUCUGUCUUUUUUAUAAAUUGGCACUCACAGAUCCAGCCCUGUCUUUGUUACUUUUCUAUUGCUGCAAAGAUAUACCACAAUCAAGGAAACUUAUAGAAGAAAUAGCUUACUAUGGUUUGCAAUUCAUGAGGAUUAGGGACCAUACCAUUGUGGCAGAAGGCAGACAAAGAAGGAAGAAGGCUGGAGCCUUAGCUGAGAGCUCACACCUCAUAUGUGAACACAGCAGAUAGAGGCAGAGGCUAACUGGGCUGUGAGACCAAGUGGCACACCUUCUCCAGGAAGGUCACAUCUCUUACUCCUUUCUCAACAGUUCCACCAUCUGGGAACCAAGCAUUCAGACAUAUGAGUCUAUGGUGCCGUUCUCAUUCAAACCACGGCAAGCCGUAAGACAACCUCCAGUCUGCAGGAGUUCCUCUUACCAUGAAGAGUACAUCUAAGUCCCCAGUGGGUUUGAGAAACUGCAGAUUAUACUAAAGCACUUGAAUGUAUGUGUGCCUGUGCAUGCAUGUGUUUAUGUAUGUAUAUGUAUAUGUGAAUAUACAUUUAACAUGUAUGUUUGUGUGUACUUAGGGACUAAGAAGAUAGCUCAGUGGGUAAAACGCUUGCUGACAAGCCUGAAAACUGGGAUUGGAUUCUCAGAUCCCAUAUAAAAACCUCCAGACAGUAGUAGUAGUAGUAGUAUCUCUAGUCCCAGAAUACCCUAACCAAGAGACAGGUGGAGACAUGGCUGGAAGAUUGUGGGCCAGCUAGCUUAAUACAUGCUGCAGUGCUCCUCUGUACAUCAUCUCCUGAGUUCUAGAGAUAAAGUUCAGGUUGCCAAGUUUGUAGGGCCCUGCUUUACCAGCUUUCUCUUCAACCUGGAAAGUUUCUUAAUUAAAAAUUUAAAGCCGGGCUUGGUGGCGCACGCCUUUAAUCCCAGCACUCGGGAGGCAGAGGCAGGCGGAUUUCUGAGUUUGAGGCCAGCCUGGUCUACAGAGUUGAGUUCCAGGACAGCCAGGGCUACACAGAGAAAUCCUGUCUCGAAAAACCAAAAAAAAAAAAAAGAAAAAAAAUUUUUAAAAAAUAUUAAAAGAAUUGUUCUUUUUUUGGGUAUUGUUUGGUUUGCCUAUCAAAAAUUUGAGUCUUGGGCUGGCGAGAUGGCUCAGUGGGUAAGAGCACAGACUGCUUUACCGAAGGUCCUGGGUUCAAAUCCCAGCAACCAUAUGGUGGCUCACAACUACCCGUAAUGAGAUCUGACACCCUCUUCUGGUGUGUCUGAAGACAGCUACAGUGUACUUAGGUAUAAUAAUAAAUAAAUCUUUAAAAAAAAAUCGAGUCUUCUAGAAAGGAUUGCCCUUAAAAACCUUUGCCUCAAAUAAUCCUCUCAGUAAAGGUCCAAGGAGCCUGAGCUCCCACAAACCAGAAAAUGUUACAAACUGGUGAGAAUAAGAAGUAAAAGAAAACAUGGUAAACUCCCUCAAAGAGUCUUAGUUGUCAGGUAUAAAAAUGUGUGGACUUGGUACCUUUAUUUGUAACAGUAGGAGGUUAAAAAUGGAAAAUGUUACAAUUAAUUUUGGGGAGAAAAAAAACCCUGGAAAGUAGCAAAAAACACAAAGGAAAUGCAAAUCAAACGUCUAUGAACUGAAAACGAACUAGAAAUCUCAAUGAGAAAAAAUAAAUAUCAGAGUAGACAUCUAAUCUGGACUGGAAGAAAAUUACUGAAAGAUAAAUCUGGGAUAUUAGAAUAUAGAAUGCUGUGAAAGAGAUGAAGACAGAGAUGAAAUUCUAGCAUCUAGGUUAAAGAAAGUCAGUUGAAAAUUAGCCUUCCAGAGCGUGAAAUAAAGAUAGAGGCAACAGUGGCAAAUCUCAGCAAAUCCUAGUGAUUAUUUUCAAAGAGAGGCUGGGCACACUGUAGAGUUACCCUGAAGGUCUGUAGUUGUAACCUCAGCUUUAAAGAGGCAAAGAAAAGGAUUGCGGUGUGGUCAAGUCCAUCCUUGACUAUGUAGCAAUACCCAAUCUUCAAAAUAAAAGGAAUUGGGAGCUGGCAGGGAGAUGACUCAGCAGUUAAGGACAGGGCUGCUCUUGCAGAGGACUGUCUAUAACUCAGUUUCACGGAAUUUGAUGCCCUUUUUCGCACCUUCUAUACAUCAGGGUGUGGUCAUAGAGUGUUUGAACUUUGGAAAUAUAAAUUUGGGAACCAGCAAUUUAUAGAUGAUAUUUAAUGCAGAAGAGAAAACAAAAAGAUUAAAACUGGUUACUAGUUUAUUACUUUCUUAGAUGGCUAAUACAUUUUUUGUAGUUUUUUUCUUAGAUGUAAUCUGAAGGCAAUUUUUAAUUUCCAAAUAUCUGAGACUUUAGUAUUUUUGGGUGCUCUCUUUGCACCCAAACUUGGUCAAAGGUAAUAUUCUAUAUGAUAAGGAUUUGUUAAUAGAGAUGAGCUUUCUUCUCUGGUUGUCCUAUGUAGACCAGGCUGGCCUUGAACUCACAAAGAUCCCCUACCUCUUCCUCCCAAGUACCACUACACUUGGCUGGAACAAUUCUUCUAAAUAAUUUUUGUGAGUUUAAAAAAAUAUUUUCACCUUGUUAAGGUGAGUCUCUACAUUGCCAUGAUAUCAAGCCUACUUAAGUAAAUCCAGUGUUUACAUUUAAACACAUGGGUGACUGUAGGAGUGUGUCAGCUGGCAUGGUGUUCUGGAGGAGGCUGCUGUAAAGUCUCUGUUCAGGACAUUAGAUGCAGAAGACCAGCUUCUAUCCAGUCUAUGCAGAAACAGAGAUGACAGACACCUUGUGGUAAUUGUCACCAACUCAGAGAACCUGUAGUGACAACAAAGGUGCAGAUGUCAGGGAUGUAAGGACCGGAUAAAACUGAGUCUCCAUGGACCUUCAACAUUUGUGAUGGAUAUGGAAA